UGGCGAACGGGUGAGUAAUGUAUCGCUAACGUGCCCUUCCGUUGGGGAUAGCCGGGGGAAACUCCGGGUAAUACCCAACAACAUACCUUCUCGGCAUCGGGAGGGUCUCCAAGGAGUAAUCCGCGGAAGGAGCGGGCGAUAUCGUAUCAGCUAGUUGGUGAGGUAACGGCUCACCAAGGCGACGACGCGUAGCCGGACUGAGAGGUUGGCCGGCCACAUUGGGACUGAGACACUGCCCAG
rnacentral:rRNA from 1 species